rnacentral:rRNA from 1 species
CUUGCGCUGACGAGUGGCGGACGGGUGAGUAACGCGUAGGAAUCUACCUGGUAGUGGGGGAUAGCCCGGGGAAACUCGGAUUAAUACCGCAUACGCCCUACGGGGGAAAGCAGGGGCUCUUCGGACCUUGCGCUAUUGGAUGAGCCUGCGUUAGAUUAGCUAGUUGGUGGGGUAAAGGCCUACCAAGGCGACGAUCUAUAGCUGGUCUGAGAGGAUGAUCAGCCACACUGGGACUGAGACACGGCCCAGACUCCUACGGGAGGCAGCAGUGGGGAAUAUUGCGCAAUGGGCGAAAGCCUGACGCAGCCAUGCCGCGUGUGUGAAGAAGGCUCUAGGGUCGUAAAGCACUUUAAGUGGGGAGGAAGGCUACUUGGUUAAUACCUGAGUAGAUUGACGUUACCCACAGAAUAAGCACCGGCUAACUCCGUGCCAGCAGCCGCGGUAAUACGGAGGGUGCGAGCGUUAAUCGGAAUUACUGGGCGUAAAGCGCGCGUAGGCGGUUUUGUAAGCUGGGUGUGAAAGCCCCGGGCUCAACCUGGGAACUGCAUUCAGAACUGCAAGGCUAGAGUACAGUAGAGGGUGGUAGAAUUUCCUGUGUAGCGGUGAAAUGCGUAGAUAUAGGAAGGAAUACCAGUGGCGAAGGCGGCCACCUGGACUGAUACUGACGCUGAGGUGCGAAAGCGUGGGUAGCGAACAGGAU